UGGGGAAUAUUGCACAAUGGGCGCAAGCCUGAUGCAGCAACGCCGCGUGAGGGACGACGGCCUUCGGGUUGUAAACCUCUUUUAGUAGGGAAGAAGCGAAAGUGACGGUACCUGCAGAAAAAGCACCGGCUAACUACGUGCCAGCAGCCGCGGUAAUACGUAGGGUGCGAGCGUUGUCCGGAAUUAUUGGGCGUAAAGAGCUCGUAGGCGGUCUGUCGCGUCUGCUGUGAAAACCCGAGGCUCAACCUCGGGCCUGCAGUGGGUACGGGCAGACUAGAGUGCGGUAGGGGAGAAUGGAACUCCUGGUGUAGCGGUGGAAUGCGCAGAUAUCAGGAGGAACACCGAUGGCGAAGGCAGUUCUCUGGGCCGUAACUGACGCUGAGGAGCGAAAGCGUGGGGAGCGAACAGGAUUAGAUACCCUGGUAGUCCACGCCGUAAACGUUGGGCGCUAGAUGUGGGGACCAUUCCACGGUUUCCGUGUCGCAGCUAACGCAUUAAGCGCCCCGCCUGGGG
rnacentral:rRNA from 1 species